rnacentral:rRNA from 1 species
CAGUAGCCGCGGUAAUACGUAGGGUGCAAGCGUUAAUCGGAAUUACUGGGCGUAAAGCGUGCGCAGGCGGUUUUGUAAGACAGAGGUGAAAUCCCCGGGCUCAACCUGGGAACUGCCUUUGUGACUGCAAGGCUAGAGUACGGCAGAGGGGGAUGGAAUUCCGCGUGUAGCAGUGAAAUGCGUAGAUAUGCGGAGGAACACCGAUGGCGAAGGCAAUCCCCUGGGCCUGUACUGACGCUCAUGCACGAAAGCGUGGGGAGCAAACAGGAUUAGAUACCCGCGUAGUCCCUGUCUCUUAUAC